GAUGAACGCUGACAGAAUGCUUAACACAUGCAAGUCUUUGGCGAAGCUGUGCUUGCACAGCCUAGCCAAGGCGGACGGGUGAGUAACGCGUAAGGAACUUGCCCUGCAGUCAGGGAUAACAGACGGAAACGACUGAUAAGACCUGGUAAAGUCAGGCGGACUCAUGUCCAGCCUGAUGAAAAGAGAUGCUGCAGGAGAGCCUUGCGUCCUAUUAGCUUGUUGGUGGGGUAACGGCCCACCAAGGCGAUGAUAGGUAGCCGGCCUGAGAGGGUGGACGGCCACAAGGGGACUGAGAUACGGCCCUUACUCCUACGGGAGGCAGCAGUGGGGAAUAUUGGACAAUGGGGGCAACCCCGAUCCAGCAAUUCUGUGUGCACGAUGAAGGUUUUCGGAUUGUAAAGUGCUUUCAGCAGGGAAGAAAAAAUGACGGUACCUGCAGAAGAAGCGACGGCUAAAUACGUG
rnacentral:rRNA from 1 species